AGACCGCAUCGACGAUGGCGUCCGCGAGGUCCUACCCGCCUUCGUACCCAGCUGGUGUCUUCGUGGUCCGCUCGAAGCAAGAGCUGGCGCCUCUUGUGGCGCGGCUGCGCGCGGCCCGACGACUGAAGCCAGGGCGUAACGUCACUGUGUUCGACGGCGAGCACUUUGCCGAGGUGGCGGAUGCGCUGGAGAUCAGGCUAUCGGCGAGCGCGCCUGAAGGGCAUGGGGGCGGCGCCACUGAGGACGCGGCCUGCGGCCUGAGGGAGACGCUGGUGCACCUUCGUGAGACGACCGAGGCCGAGGCAGUACAGCUUGUGAUGGCCACGCAGACGGGGAGGAGGACAGGGCUUUCAGGAAACGAUGGCAUCAGCGCACUUCCGCCCACAAGUCUCUUCACGUCUGAGGCGCAUUUGACUAGUGCGCGCGCAUCUGCCCCAGCAGUGAUGUGUGAACGGUGUGCGCUCAUCACAGCGCGCGACUCCGUCGAAGGUGAAGAAUUUCUUUCGCUGCUGCGCGUCCCCUGUGCGGAGCGAGCAGGCACAAGGUGGCCACUGUACAUGGCGGCGCACGUAGUCGGCGAGUUUGCGGAGACGGAGCUUCGCGCGCUUCUCUCCUCUGAUGGAUCGAGUGGCGGCCCCAGCACCGAAAGUGACGGUGCUGACGGACACGAGUCGAUGAAAUCAUCUACACCGGUGGCUUACAUCCGGGGCGUCCGGCGGUUCCACCGUGUGUGCUGCCCGGUGCUAGCGGAGAUGCCAUCUGCGCUCGCAGCGAUGCGGCGUGCAGCAUUGCUGCAGCGUCACCACCGCCUCGCCCAACGUGAUGAGGCGGCGGCAGACAGCCCGUGUGCGUCGCCAUCAUCGGAAGCGGGUGCGCCAUCACUAUCGGCUGCCACCCUCCAGCGCAGUAGCGCUCCGCCGGGGGGCCUCUCUCGAGAUGCCAACACUGUCUGCAGUCCGUUUUUCACGUUCUCCGAGUUGUUUGGAGGCAUUGGCAUGUUCCGCAGUGGCCUGGAGCGCGUUGGUGGCCGUGCCGCUUUCGCCGUGGAGUUCGCGCCUCCUGCGCAGAUCGUCUACGCACUCAACCACCGCUGCCUGCACGACUGUCCAGCCGCCCUACAGCUGCCAAACGCGAAGCAAGAAGAUCCCGGAGAAGACACCAGAGGCUUACUCACUCAGCGCGGCGGCGGCCGCCUCCGCAGCGGGACCGCCUUGUCCGCUGCCGCCUCCGCAGCAGCCGAGGACCACGCAGCGAUGGAGGGAGGCUUUCCUGACGCCACAGCGCGCUCUGUGCCGUUCCUCGUCGGCGACAUCACCGAGAUACCCAGCGCCUUCUUUCCCACGCACGACGUGCUUACAGGCGGCUUCCCGUGUCAGAGCUUCGCCAAGGCUGGCGACGCUGCAGGGCUGCACGCGGACAAGGGGUGGCUGUUCUACGAGGUGGUGCGGGUACUGGCUGCUACUCGACCGACAGCAUUCUUGCUGGAGAAUGUGGAGCAUCUUGUCGAGGUGGAGGCUGGCGCGCAGCUCGCUGUGAUCCUUGCCCGGCUCCGCCGCCCGGCGUCGGCGUUGUCCACGCCAACCGCCGAGGAUGUCGCGUUGGAGUACGAGGUGCAGCAUGUGGUCGUGGAUGGCGGCGCCCUAACACCGCAGACGCGAAAGCGAGUGUACUUCUUCGGCUUCCGAGCCGCCUCACCUCUGGUGCCGGCACGUGCGGUGCCCCUUGAUCGCGCCCUCUGUCAGUCCGCCCUGCCUCGCGCUGACGAUGGGGAGGCAAGUGCGGCUGCAGCCCGAGUUGUUGCUGAUGCCCUUCAACGAAUCAAGGCCGCUUCUCUGGACUCGCCAUACCGCAUCGUCCAGGAGCUGCUUGUGGCCCCCUCAACUGUGGACUUGUCGUACUCAACACCACAAGGCCGCUCAAUACAGGAUGAGCCAACUAGCACAUCACACGGAGAGAAGAGCGCGGCCCACAGCUCCGCACACGGUGACCUUCAGCUGACUUCCGCUCAAUGGGAGGCGGUUCGACGCAGUCGCACGUACCGGCAGAACCCGCUGUGGCGUCUGUGCGACGUGCAAGGGCGGGCCCGCACCCUGCUGGGUAGCUACCGCACGAGCUAUCAACUCUACUCCGAGUUUGUGCCUUUUUCAUCAGAGCGGACGCAGCAUGAGGUCGUGGCGAUGCUACUGGAGAAGACGCCGCUGAAGCCAGGGGACGACGCCGAUGAUGUGCGCGCUGGCGGCUCAGAGAACCCGGCGAUUCCGGCGCCGCCGCCUCCACCGCUGCGGUUCUUCGCGCUGCGCGAGUGCGCGCGCUUGCAAGGAAUCGAGGACACUUUCCUUCUUCCGCACGACACGACGCAGCUUUCGUCAAGCGCUGAUGGCGCAACUCCACCGGGUGCUGCUGUGAUUCCUGCUGCAGUGCUCCGCCAGGUGCCAUCCGGUGCCGUUUACAAGCUGAUUGGCAACGCCGUCAACCCGCGGGUAGUGGCAUGCUUGGGCGGCGCCAUCGCGUCCUACCUGCAAGAGCGACGUCGCUGAACACGAGCGGGAGGUACUCCUUUCUCCCUUUCCCCAUGCCAUCUACUGCAUCGAUCGAUAAGAAGCACCACGGUGAUGCUGACGCUCGUGCGUGUGUGUGUGCGUGCGCGCAGCGCGGGAACAGCACCCGCGCUUGGCGGCUUCGCCGUCUCAUCACCAGACGCUUUAUUGUGUUCUCCCUCCUUUUCGCACCCGCGCAGAUACACGCGCCGGCCGGCGGGAUCAAGAGGGGAGGGUGGCGAACGAGGGCGAAUCACAGAACGACCGCAGAGGUUGGUCGAGUGCGCAGUGCGAACUGAUAAAGACGCAGCACCUACCCUCGUGUGCGUGCCUGGUGCUCGUGUGCGCCGAAUCAGGCCCUUCUUACGGAGCGCUACGCACACGCGCACACGCGAGCUCGAUGGAAUACUGCCCGCGCUCACACCAUUUCUGCUUCCCUCUCCCUUUCUUCAAUCUCUGCCUUCCUCACUAUCCAAAACCUCCUCGCCCCUUCACGCUUGGCGCUUUUCGCGCGUAUGUCACAUCUUCGGACAUGGCUGCUGUCGUGUUUCGACACCUUGUGUGAACGGCACACUCCACGAUUCAUCCGCACACCGACGCACGCCCUUACCCUUGCCCUUGCCCUUCUUCGGUUCUACCGUCAAAAAAG
rnacentral:misc_RNA from 1 species